GUGGGAGGGGGCUUGCUCCCGAUAACGGUGGAUCAGUCAGUGCAUGGGUCACUGGUGGACCGCUAUCGGGAGCAAGCCCCCUCCCAC
rnacentral:misc_RNA from 1 species